GCGAGUGGCGAACGGGUGAGUAAUAUAUCGGAACGUACCCUAGAGUGGGGGAUAACGUAGCGAAAGUUACGCUAAUACCGCAUACGAUCUAAGGAUGAAAGUGGGGGAUCGCAAGACCUCAUGCUCGUGGAGCGGCCGAUAUCUGAUUAGCUAGUUGGUAGGGUAAAAGCCUACCAAGGCAUCGAUCAGUAGCUGGUCUGAGAGGACGACCAGCCACACUGGAACUGAGACACGGUCCAGACUCCUACGGGAGGCAGCAGUGGGGAAUUUUGGACAAUGGGCGAAAGCCUGAUCCAGCAAUGCCGCGUGAGUGAAGAAGGCCUUCGGGUUGUAAAGCUCUUUUGUCAGGGAAGAAACGGUGAGAGCUAAUAUCUCUUGCUAAUGACGGUACCUGAAGAAUAAGCACCGGCUAACUACGUGCCAGCAGCCGCGGUAAUACGUAGGGUGCAAGCGUUAAUCGGAAUUACUGGGCGUAAAGCGUGCGCAGGCGGUUUUGUAAGUCUGAUGUGAAAUCCCCGGGCUCAACCUGGGAAUUGCAUUGGAGACUGCAAGGCUAGAAUCUGGCAGAGGGGGGUAGAAUUCCACGUGUAGCAGUGAAAUGCGUAGAUAUGUGGAGGAACACCGAUGGCGAAGGCAGCCCCCUGGGUCAAGAUUGACGCUCAUGCACGAAAGCGUGGGGAGCAAACAGGAUUAGAUACCCUGGUAGUCCACGCCCUAAACGAUGUCUACUAGUUGUCGGGUCUUAAUUGACUUGGUAACGCAGCUAACGCGUGAAGUAGACCGCCUGGGGAGUACGGUCGCAAGAUUAAAACUCAAAGGAAUUGACGGGGACCCGCACAAGCGGUGGAUGAUGUGGAUUAAUUCGAUGCAACGCGAAAAACCUUACCUACCCUUGACAUGGCUGGAAUCCUCGAGAGAUUGAGGAGUGCUCGAAAGAGAACCAGUACACAGGUGCUGCAUGGCUGUCGUCAGCUCGUGUCGUGAGAUGUUGGGUUAAGUCCCGCAACGAGCGCAACCCUUGUCAUUAGUUGCUACGAAAGGGCACUCUAAUGAGACUGCCGGUGACAAACCGGAGGAAGGUGGGGAUGACGUCAAGUCCUCAUGGCCCUUAUGGGUAGGGCUUCACACGUCAUACAAUGGUACAUACAGAGCGCCGCCAACCCGCGAGGGGGAGCUAAUCGCAGAAAGUGUAUCGUAGUCCGGAUUGUAGUCUGCAACUCGACUGCAUGAAGUUGGAAUCGCUAGUAAUCGCGGAUCAGCAUGUCGCGGUGAAUACGUUCCCGGGUCUUGUACACACCGCCCGUCACACCAUGGGAGCGGGUUUUACC
rnacentral:rRNA from 1 species